rnacentral:tRNA from 1 species
GUUUUAAUAAUUUAAUAAAAAUAUUAGUCUUGUAUACUAAAAAUAAGAAAAUUACUUUUAAAACU